AAAGGGUCAGCAUGGCCGAUGGGUUGGCGUGGCCAAAGGCCCAAGGGGUGGUCAAAGGGUCAGCAUGGCCGAUGGGUUGGCAUGGCCAAAGGCCCAAAAGGGCGGUCAAGGGCUCGGCACGGCCGAUGGGUUGGCGUGGCCAAAGGCCCAAAGGGGUGGUCAAGCGCUCGGCACAGCCGAUGGUUUGGCACGGCCAAGAGGUGGUCAAGACCAAGGGGUUGGUGUGGCCGAGGGCUUGGCGUAGCCAAAGGCCCAAGGGCUGGUCAAGGGGUUGGCACGGCCAAGGGUUGGUCAAGACCAAGGGGUUGGCGUGGCCAAAGGGCCAAGAGGGGGUCAAGGCCGAUGGGUUGGCAUGGCCAAAGAGCUGAAGGUCAAGGGGUCGGCACGGCCGAGGGACUGGCAUGGCCAGAGGGCUGAGGCGUGGUCAAGGACUUGGCACAGCCGAUGGACUGGUGUGGCUGAGGGGUCAGUGUGGCCGAGGGGUCAGCGUGACCUAGGGGUCAGUGUGGCCAAGGGGUCAGUGUAGCUGAAGGCUCAGCAUGGCCAAAGGGCUGGCAUGGCUGAGGAGCCAAAGGGUGGUCAAGGGGUCAGCACAGCAGAUGGGUCAGUGUGGCCGAGGGGUCAGUGUGGCCGAGGAGUCAGUGUGACCGAGGGGUCAGUGUGGCUGAGGGGUCAGUGUGGCUGAGGAGUCAGUGUGACCAAGGGGUCAGUGUGGCUGAGGGGUCAGUGUGACCGAGGGGUCAGUGUGACUGAGGGGUCAGUGUGACCGAGGGGUCAGUGUGGCCAAGGAGUCAGUGUGGCCAAGGGGUCAGUGUGGCCGAGGGGUCAGUGUGACUGAGGGCUGACCAAGAGGUUGGCACAGCUGAUGGAUUGGCGUGGCUGAGGGUUUGGCACAGCCAAUGGGUUGGCAUGACCGAGGGGUCAGUGUGGUCAAGGGUUUGGCAUGGCCAAUGGGUUGGUGUGGCCGAGGGGUCAGUGUGGUCAAGGGGCCAGCAUGGCCAAUGGGUUGGCAUGGCCAAGGCGUGGCCGAGGUGUUGGCACAGCCAAUGGGUUGGUGUGGCCGAGGGGUCGGCAUGGCCAAAGUGUUGGCAUGGCCAAAGGGUCAGUGUGGCCAAAGGGUCGGCACAGCCGAUGGGUUGACAUGGCCAAGGGGUCAGUGUGACCCCAGGAUUGGCAUGGCCAAGGGGUCAGUGUGACCCCACGAUUGGCAUGGCCGAGGGGUCAGUGUGACCCCAGGAUUGGCAUGGCCGAGGGGUCAGUGUGACCCCUGGAUUGGCAUGGCCGAGGGGUCAGUGUGGCCAAAGGUUUGGCAUGGCCGAUGUGUUGUUGUGACCAAGGGGUCAGUGUGACCCUGGGGUUGGCAGAGCUGGGCAGUGACCCAGGGGUCAGCAUGGCCGAGGGGUUGGCAUUGCCAAGG
rnacentral:lncRNA from 1 species